rnacentral:lncRNA from 1 species
GUGUGUGGGGUUCUGGACGAUCGACAGAGAGGAGCAAGGAGGGGUGAAACCCUAACUUCACAAAAUCCACAAGAAUUACUACAAAUCUUAAGGAAAUCGAAAGAAUAAUCAUCAAAUUCUAAGCUCCUACACCUGUUCUUUGAAGUGGAAACCAAAAUUGACAUGGACUCAAGUAUGGAAGGCUAUCGGAUUAAGAGGAAAUGAGGAAGUUAUGCACAAACUUGGACGCACGAGGUAAGUGAUUUCCAUAAUCACUUCUUAGUUUGUUUAAGUAGUAUAAUGUUUAAUUAUUAAGUUCAUAUGAAGUUGAGGUCAAAUCAAUAGAUUAUUUUGAUGAAUGCAUGAACGGGUCGAAUAAUUCGUAGAUGAAUAAUAAGCCGAUCAUGUACAAGUUAAGAAAUUCCUUAACUCGGAUGUUGGAUUUCAAGUCCACAUGAUAGAAUGUUAAUUUACAAUCAUGUAGGAAGAAACGUGACGCAAAACGGAUGAAAAAUGAGAGAGUUAUGUCCGUUUCGGUAAGAAUUAAUGGUUAGGAAGAGUGCAGAGCUGACACGGUCGGGUGGUGAGAUGACACGGCCGGGUGAAGGUUCUGUGAAAAAAAUAUUAGUUAUGUGAUUUAUGCAUCGUAGGCUUCGGUAUAUUAUCUGUGGACUACGGUGGGCCUCCCAAACAUGAUUUCGAGUGUUCCCUUGACGAUUAUAAGUUGUACACCCAAGUCUAAGCCUCAUGUAAUUUAUAUAAGAGUAUGAUAGAUGUAUGUAAUGAUGACUAGGGAGGUGUGUUAAUUAAGUUAAGAGAAUAGGAUGGUAUGUAAGUAUGAACAAUUGGAGUCAUGGUGAGUUUAAGUCAUAUAAACUAGUACGCGUGAUGUGUAUAGAAGAUAUAUAUAUAUAUAUACGUAUGUACAUAAUUAUGCGAAAGGCGUAUAUUGUGUUGUAGUUAAAUAGAUGCAUAUAAAUAGUUGGCGACCUUUUUACGAAGAUGUAGUACUUGAAUAUGUUGAGAUUACGGGUUUGCUAACCAAGUUAUUAUCAAGUAUGUUUGAAAGUGCAGGUUUAUGAAUGUCGGACUUUCGAAGUGUUGAUAUAGUAAUGAAAUGAUUGAAUGUUGGAAGGAUAAUCGGGUUGAAGUAACUUAAGCGGUUAGAAUAUGCUAUGGACGUUUUAGUUUAUACAAUAUUAUAUGUUUGGUCGUCACCAUCUACUAACAGGUUAGUUGUAUGAGAGUAUAUGUCAUACCCAUUUAAUUGGGUAAUCGAAUGCGUAAGAGAAAUGAAAGUACGUACACGAAUGGAACUAAAAUGACGGUUUUAUAAGCAAACAAGUAUAAUGACUAACAUUUUAAAGCUUUGUUGUUGAAUGUAGGUAAAUCCUUAAUUUUGGCGACUUGGAGAAUCGGAGCGAGCGCGUGUUCAUGUUAUGCGAUACCAAACGCUUCCGCUAGUUUGUUCAAAUGUUUUCGAUCCAAAAUUUGUUAAUUGUAUCUAGUUUGUUUAUGUUUAAAACAGGGGUAUGUUCGUU